rnacentral:rRNA from 1 species
GACGAACGCUGGCGGCGUGCUUAACACAUGCAAGUCGAACGGAAAGGCCCUGCUUUUGUGGGGUGCUCGAGUGGCGAACGGGUGAGUAACACGUGAGUAACCUGCCCUUGACUUUGGGAUAACUUCAGGAAACUGGGGCUAAUAUCGGAUAGGAGCUCCUGCUGCAUGGUGGGGGUUGGAAAGUUUCGGCGGUUGGGGAUGGACUCGCGGCUUAUCAGCUUGUUGGUGGGGUAGUGGCUUACCAAGGCUUUGACGGGUAGCCGGCCUGAGAGGGUGACCGGCCACAUUGGGACUGAGAGACGGCCCAGACUCCUACGGGAGGCAGCAGUGGGGAAUAUUGCACAAUGGGCGGAAGCCUGAUGCAGCAACGCCGCGUGCGGGAUAACGGCCUUCGGGUUGUAAACCGCUUUCGCCUGUGACGAAGCGUGAGUGACGGUAAUGGGUAAAGAAGCACCGGCUAACUACGUG